GAUGAAGAACGUAGCGAAAUGCGAUAAGUAAUGCGAAUUGCAGAAUUCAGUGAAUCAUCGAAUCUUUGAACGCACAUUGCGCCCGCCAGUACUCUGGCGGGCAUGCCUGUCUGAGCGUCAUUUCAACCCUCGCCCCCGGCUUCUGUCGGGGACGGUGUUGGGGAUCGGCCUCCCGUCUUCCGGGUGGCCGGCCCCUAAAUUGAGUGGCGACCACGCCGUAACCUCCUCUGCGUAGUAGUUAAACACUCGCGGGCGGAGAGCGGUGCGGCCUGCCGUAAAACCCCCAACUCUUCUAAGGUUGACCUCAGAUCAGGUAGGAAUACCCGCUGAACUUAAGCAUAUCAAUAAGCGAGGA
rnacentral:misc_RNA from 1 species